AUUGAACGCUGGCGGCAUGCCUUACACAUGCAAGUCGAACGGAUUCAAGAGGCUUGCUUCUUGAGUUAGUGGCGAACGGGUGAGUAAAGCAUCGGAACGUACCCAGUUGUGGGGGAUAACGUAGCGAAAGUUACGCUAAUACCGCAUACGCACUGAGGUGGAAAGCGGGGGACCGAAAGGCCUCGCGCAAUUGGAGCGGCCGAUGUCGGAUUAGCUAGUUGGUGAGGUAAAGGCUCACCAAGGCGACGAUCCGUAGCUGGUCUGAGAGGACGACCAGCCACACUAGAACUGAGACACGGUCCAGACUCCUACGGGAGGCAGCAGUGGGGAAUUUUGGACAAUGGGCGAAAGCCUGAUCCAGCCAUGCCGCGUGAGUGAAGAAGGCCUUCGGGUUGUAAAGCUCUUUCAGACGGAAAGAAAUCUUUCGGGUGAAUAUCCCGGAAGGAUGACGGUACCGUAAGAAGAAGCACCGGCUAACUACGUGCCAGCCGCCGCGGUAA
rnacentral:rRNA from 1 species